AUUGAACGCUGGCGGCAGGCCUAACACAUGCAAGUCGAACGAGUGGCGGACGGGUGAGUAAUGUCUGGGAAACUGCCUGAUGGAGGGGGAUAACUACUGGAAACGGUAGCUAAUACCGCAUACCAUCGGAUGUGCCCAGAUGGGAUUAGCUAGUAGGUGGGGUAAAGGCUCACCUAGUCGACGAUCCCUAGCUGGGCUGAGAGGAUGACCAGCAACACUGGAACGGAGACACGGUCCGUACUCCUAGGGGAGGCAGCGUUGGGGAAUAUUGGACAAUGGGCGCAAGCCUGAUGCGGCCAGGCCGCGUGUAUGAAGAAGGCUUUCGGGUUGUAAAGUACUUUCAGCGGGGAGGCGUUACCCGCAGAAGAAGCACCGGCUAACUCCGUGCCAGCAGCCGCGGUAAUAC
rnacentral:rRNA from 1 species